rnacentral:rRNA from 1 species
AAAACUUUCAACAACGGAUCUCUUGGCUCCAGCAUCGAUGAAGAACGCAGCGAAACGCGAUAUGUAGUGUGAAUUGCAGAAUUCAGUGAAUCAUCGAAUCUUUGAACGCACAUUGCGCCUUCCAGUAUCCUGGGAGGCAUGCCUGUCCGAGCG